rnacentral:rRNA from 1 species
CAACCUGCCCAUCACUUGGGGAUAACCUUGCGAAAGUAAGACUAAUACCCAAUGAUAUCUCUAGAAGACAUCUGAAGGAGAUUAAAGAUUUAUCGGUGAUGGAUGGGGAUGCGUCUGAUUAGCUUGUUGGCGGGGUAACGGCCCACCAAGGCGACGAUCAGUAGGGGUUCUGAGAGGAAGGUCCCCCACAUUGGAACUGAGACACGGUCCAAACUCCUACGGGAGGCAGCAGUGAGGAAUAUUGGUCAAUGGGCGAGAGCCUGAACCAGCCAAGUAGCGUGCAGGAUGACGGCCCUAUGGGUUGUAAACUGCUUUUAUAAGGGAAUAAAGUGAGUCUCGUGAGACUUUUUGCAUGUACCUCAUGAAUAAGGACCGGCUAAUUCCGUGCCAGCAGCCGCGGUAAUACGGAAGGUCCGGGCGUUAUCCGGAUUUAUUGGGUUUAAAGGGAGCGUAGGCCGGAGAUUAAGCGUGUUGUGAAAUGUAGAUGCUCAACAUCUGCACUGCAGCGCGAACUGGUUUCCUUGAGUACGCACAAAGUGGGCGGAAUUCGUGGUGUAGCGGUGAAAUGCUUAGAUAUCACGAAGAACUCCGAUUG